rnacentral:rRNA from 1 species
AAGUCGAACGGUGAAGAGAAGCUUGCUUCUCGGAUCAGUGGCGGACGGGUGAGUAACACGUGAGCAACCUGCCUUUAAGAGGGGGAUAACGUUUGGAAACGAACGCUAAUACCGCAUAACAUAGAAGAUUCGCAUGUUUCUUCUAUCAAAGAUUUAUCGCUUAAAGAUGGGCUCGCGUCUGAUUAGCUGGUUGGUGAGGUAACGGCUCACCAAGGCGACGAUCAGUAGCCGUACUGAGAGGUAGAACGGCCACAUUGGGACUGAGACACGGCCCAGACUCCUACGGGAGGCAGCAGUGGGGAAUAUUGCACAAUGGAGGGAACUCUGAUGCAGCGAUGCCGCGUGAGGGAAGAAGGUUUUAGGAUUGUAAACCUCUGUCUUCAGGGACGAUAAUGACGGUACCUGAGGAGGAAGCUCCGGCUAACUACGUGCCAGCAGCCGCGGUAAUACGUAGGGAGCGAGCGUUGUCCGGAAUUACUGGGUGUAGAGGGAGCGUAGGCGGGAUCUUAAGUCAGGUGUGAAAACUAUGGGCUCAACCCAUAGACUGCACUUGAAACUGAGGUUCUUGAGUGAAGUAGAGGCAGGCGGAAUUCCUAGUGUAGCGGUGAAAUGCGUAGAUAUUAGGAGGAACAUCAGUGGCGAAGGCGGCCUGCUGGGCUUUUACUGACGCUGAGGCUCGAAAGCGUGGGGAGCAAACAGGACUAGAUACCCUGGUAGUCCACGCUGUAAACGAUGAUUACUAGGUGUGGGGGGACUGACCCCUUCCGUGCCGCAGUUAACACAAUAAGUAAUCCACCUGGGG